AAUCCAUGGUGUUGGCAUUUUUGAAUCAACAUCUUGAAACAUUCCCACGCCUCAUAAAAACUUUCUCCCUCUAUCUGUCUGAAGAUAGUGAUCUUUUUUCUUAGUUG
rnacentral:snoRNA from 1 species